rnacentral:rRNA from 1 species
GUGGGGAAUAUUGGACAAUGGGCGAAAGCCUGAUCCAGCCAUGCCGCGUGUGUGAAGAAGGUCUUCGGAUUGUAAAGCACUUUAAGUUGGGAGGAAGGGCAGUAAGUUAAUACCUUGCUGUUUUGACGUUACCGACAGAAUAAGCACCGGCUAACUUCGUGCCAGCAGCCGCGGUAAUACGAAGGGUGCAAGCGUUAAUCGGAAUUACUGGGCGUAAAGCGCGCGUAGGUGGUUUUGUAAGUUGGAGGUGAAAUCCCCGGGCUCAACCUGGGAACUGCCUCCAAAACUGCAUGACUAGAGUACGGUAGAGGGUAGUGGAAUUUCCUGUGUAGCGGUGGAAUGCGUAGAUAUAGGAAGGAACACCAGUGGCGAAGGCGACUACCUGGACUGAUACUGACACUGAGGUGCGAAAGCGUGGGGAGCAAACAGGAUUAGAAACCCUGGUAGUCC